GCUCCCGUAGCUCAGCUGGAUAGAGCAACUGCCUUCUAAGCAGUAGGUCGCAGGUUCGAGCCCUGCCGGGAGUG
rnacentral:tRNA from 3 species